UACAGAGGGGGCAAGCGUUGUUCGGAAUUACUGGGCGUAAAGGGCGCGUAGGCGGCCAACUAAGUCGAACGUGAAAUCCCCGGGCUCAACCCGGGAACUGCGUCCGAUACUGGAUGGCUUGAAUCCGGGAGAGGGAUGUGGAAUUCCAGGUGUAGCGGUGAAAUGCGUAGAUAUCUGGAGGAACACCGGUGGCGAAGGCGGCAUCCUGGACCGGUAUUGACGCUGAGGCGCGAAAGCCAGGGUAGCAAACGGGG
rnacentral:rRNA from 1 species